GAAGGUGCGGGGAGGGACUUGCACUUUCAGCUCCUGAUUGGCUGUGCGUCAGCUCCCAGAGGCAAGUGUCCGUGGGGGAAAGCUCCAUCUGCCUCGCAGAUCUGCUGCGUAAUAGGCACCUGAAGCUGCUGAUUGGCUACUAAAGAGGCCUGUGCAGCCACUGAUUGGCUGUGGGGUAGACGCACAACGUGCGAGGCGCGCGGGCUGGGCCCAGGGCGACAGCGGAGCCUUCACACCGCUUUCUCCGCGCGCUGAUGGAGGAUUCCUGGCCUCACAGCAGUGCCUGGCCUGUGGGCGUCCCCGGCAGUCCUCGGCUGCGGGACCUGUAUCGGGACUGCGCAAAGUGGGCUUCCAGGAGAGCAGGGCGUCCCUCAGUCAGCUGACCCCUUGGAGCGUGGGGCAGCCCAGGCCCGUGAGGCCGCCAGUGUCACCCUCAGGCCCGCGAGGCCCCCGAGCCCCUUGUGGGGUCCAAGGCCCAUUCUGGAUCAGUCACGAGGCAAGACCGCGGACCCUCAGGAGAUCACCAGGAGCCCGCCGCGCAUUCCUCCGCCUCCACCACGCCAGUCACCUGCUCAGCCCGAGGGCAGCCAGCGGCCGUCGCCCCAGUGAGGCGGCCGGUGAGGAGCUGAGGCCGUGACCAGGGCAGCGCCCCGCGAGUCAGCGUCAGUCCCCGCGCCAGCCAGUUCCUCAGACAAUCAGCUCACCAUUCCCAUCGCGUAUGCUGGGAAAUCAUCAAUAUACCCGCUGUCAUGAUCCAUUUCUCUGUUCCUUUUUGUGUUUCUGCAACAUGACCUCAGUUCUCUCAGGAAGCCCCAAAACCUGUGAAACUAACCUGUGCUUGCAGCUCUGCUUGCUGCCAGAAACAAAGGCUGGGAGCCAGCAACAGGAACCAGCCAGGGGAUGAGUUCAGCCCAGACGUGCUGCCUGGACCUGGAUUCCUGCCUCAGUGCAGGCCUUGACCUGAUUUCUUGCUUCAUUACCAUACUAAAAUCUCCACUCAGGGGCGAGAACUAUGCCUUGCUAGGCACAGAAGGUGCCAAGUACAAAAGAAAACACAAGAGUGUGCACACUUCAGCCCCUCCUGAAGGAACCCACCUUUUUCCAGAUCUGCCCGCCUCAGUCUCCAACUACCUGCCCUAAGGGCCCUUAAGAUCCCCUUUUACCAACCCCUGGGAGAAGGUGCUUUGCACAUGAACUCCCUUUCUCCAUUUCUUGAUCAAUGAAUAAAGUUUCUUCUCCGCUUUGCCGAUUCUGGUCUCAUUCUAUUGGCGUAAGUGGCAGGGGGCAGAGAAAGGACCCACUAGGGCCAACUCACCCCUCCAAGGGUGGGUAACAUUUGCAGCAAAACUCCUCAAGAGGUUGUUUGUCGUCACUCUUCCUACCUUCCUUUCUUCGGUUAUUUUCCAAACGAGCUUCCAAUCAAGUCCCCCACCCUUUCACACAUGUUCAUCAAAGCUGCCAUUGCCAGUUAUCUCAGACGUAAACAAAAUCAACUCAAUAUGGAUUAAAGAUGGAAAUGUAAGGCCUGAAACUGUAAAACUCCUUGAAGAAAACAGGAGAAAAAGCUUCUUGACAUUAUCUGGGCUCAGAUUUUUUUAGAUACUGUAAACUAAAAAUAAAAUCCUAAGCCCUGUAAUCAACUGAACAGACCCCCUCUUGGCCAAGGGGACCCCAGAAAAAUCUUAAAAACUGAGUUGCUGCUACAAUGGGACGAGAGGUCAGACACACCUCAUUAUAGCCCCUUCCUUUUGCAGUUGAGAUGCAGCAACUGAUUAACCUUAAUAUGGAAAUGGAGAUCAUAAGACUGGCAGAACAGACUCUGUGGCAAUGAGAUACCAAAUCAUAUACAAAACCUAAGGCCAUGCCAGGCAGGGGUUAAAUUACACACCCCCACACUUAGAGAAUAAACUAUGUUCUAACUGCCACAAUAUGUUUAUUUUUCUCUGGUAGCUAAGCAAGCACUGGUCUCAAUAUAAGUAAUAUUAAAACAAUAUACAGCUCACCAGCAGACACUGACCCCACACCCUUGUGACUGGACAAAAGACUGAUUUCAGUAACUUUCUCUUGAUAAGAACAUGGAG
rnacentral:lncRNA from 1 species